rnacentral:piRNA from 1 species
GGUUAAAGAUUUUCCACUGCCCUCU